UUAGCCUACGGGGGGCAGCAGUGGGGAAUAUUGCACAAUGGGGGGAACCCUGAUGCAGCGACGCCGCGUGAGUGAAGAAGUAUUUCGGUAUGUAAAGCUCUAUCAGCAGGGAAGAAAGAAAUGACGGUACCUGACUAAGAAGCCCCGGCUAACUACGUGCCAGCAGCCGCGGUAAUACGUAGGGGGCAAGCGUUAUCCGGAUUUACUGGGUGUAAAGGGAGCGUAGACGGCGAUGCAAGUCUGAAGUGAAAGGCGGGGG
rnacentral:rRNA from 1 species